GCAGAGGAGAGGAGUAAGCAGGAGCUCGGAUUGGUUCAAAAUUAGGGGCGGGUUCACGAAUGUACACACUCCAGUUGUGUUGUGGACUACAGUAGAUAAUACUGAACAUGUUUACAUACGGCACAUGAGUUAGUAUAGAAGCUGUUUUAUCACAUUGUUUUUUUACAGUAAAGGUAGUCAAUUUUGUAAAUCACUGCAGUGUUUGGAAAAGACUCGAAGCUCCACCUGGGCACACCUGCGUCUCGUCUCGGCGAGAGAGAGACACACGGAGGCUUCGCGGCACGCUGAUUCCUUAUUCUGUUGGGUCGAAAACAUACCUGCCGGGUCCUGGAAAGUCCUCGGAAUAACUGUGGAAGGAAGCCCAGGACAGGCAGCAGAGACCAGUCCCAGGAUGCCCGGUCGGAUGACCGCGAACCCCGAAUCGGAGCCGCUCUUGGACGAGGGGAAGGACCGUCCUCUUGAAAAUGGCUCGCUGAGCUCUGUACCCCUCAAACCAGGCCUGACGGGAGAGGGGGCGCAGGAGACGGAGAAGAAGGAAGAGAUGGAGGGGGAGGAGGAGGAGGGAACCAGGAAGGGAGAGGGGGAGGAGGAGAGGGGAGUGAAGAAGGAAGUAGGAGAGGAGGAGG
rnacentral:lncRNA from 1 species